rnacentral:misc_RNA from 1 species
AAGUCGUAACAAGGUUUCCGUAGGUGAACCUGCGGAAGGAUCAUUAUCUAUUUUAAUGGUGUUGGUCGCGGCCCCCGGCGGAAGUGUCCCCGGGCGGUAGAGGUAACACUCUCACGCGGCCACAUGCCGUCAUCCUUUUUUUUACGAGCACCUUUCGUUCUCCUUCGGUGGGGCAACCUGCCGUUGGAACCUAUCAAACCCUUUUUUUGCAUUUAGCAUUACCUGUUCUGAUGCAAACAAUCGUUACAACUUUCAACAAUGGAUCUCUUGGCUCUG